GAUGAACGCUGGCGGCGUGCCUAAUACAUGCCGGUCGAGCGAACAGACGAGGAGCUUGCUCCUCUGACGUUAGCGGCGGACGGGUGAGUAACGCGUGGAUAACCUACCUAUAAGACUGGGAUAACUUCGGGAAACCGGAGCUAAUACCGGAUAAUAUAUUGAACCGCAUGGUUCAAUAGUGAAAGACGGUUUUGCUGUCACUUAUAGAUGGAUCCGCGCCGCAUUAGCUAGUUGGUAAGGUAACGGCUUACCAAGGCAACGAUGCGUAGCCGACCUGAGAGGGUGAUCGGCCACACUGGAACUGAGACACGGUCCAGACUCCUACGGGAGGCAGCAGUAGGGAAUCUUCCGCAAUGGGCGAAAGCUUGACGGAGCAACGCCGCGUGAGUGAUGAAGGUCUUCGGAUCGUAAAACUCUGUUAUUAGGGAAGAACAAAUGUGUAAGUAACUAUGCACGUCUUGACGGUACCUAAUCAGAAAGCCACGGCUAACUACGUG
rnacentral:rRNA from 1 species